GAUGAACGCUGGCGGCGUGCCUAAUACAUGCAAGUCGAGCGAACAGAUGAGGAGCUUGCUCCUCUGACGUUAGCGGCGGACGGGUGAGUAACACGUGGAUAACCUACCCAUAAGACUGGGAUAACUUCGGGAAACCGGAGCUAAUACCGGAUAAUAUAUUGAACCGCAUGGUUCAAUAGUGAAAGACGGUUUUGCUGUCACUUAUAGAUGGAUCCGCGCUGCAUUAGCUAGUUGGUAAGGUAACGGCUUACCAAGGCAACGAUGCGUAGCCGACCUGAGAGGGUGAUCGGCCACACUGGAACUGAGACACGGUCCAGACUCCUACGGGAGGCAGCAGUAGGGAAUCUUCCGCAAUGGGCGAAAGCCUGACGGAGCAACGCCGCGUGAGUGAUGAAGGUCUUCGGAUCGUAAAACUCUGUUAUUAGGGAAGAACAAAUGUGUAAGUAACUAUGCACGUCUUGACGGUACCUAAUCAGAAAGCCACGGCUAACUACGUG
rnacentral:rRNA from 1 species